rnacentral:rRNA from 1 species
AUUGAACGCUGGCGGCGUGCCUAACACAUGCAAGUCGCACGCGAAAGGGAGCACUCCCGAGUAGAGUGGCGGACGGGUGAGUAACGCGUAGGAAUCUACCUCGUAGUGUGGGCCAACCCGGCGACAGCCGGGCUAAUACCGCAUACGACCUGAGGGUGCAAGCAGGGGAUCGCAAGACCUUGCGCUAUGAGAUGAGCCUGCGUCCGAUUAGCUAGUUGGUGAGGUAACGGCUCGCCAAGGCGACGAUCGGUAACUGGUUUGAGAGAACGACCAGUCACACUGGGACUGAGACACGGCCCAGACUCCUACGGGAGGCAGCAGUGGGGAAUCUUGGACAAUGGGGGCAACCCUGAUCCAGCGACGCCGCGUGUGUGAAGAAGGCCUUCGGGUUGUAAAGCACUUUCGGCAGGGACAAACAAGACGGAGCUAACAUCUCCGUUCCUGAUGGUACCUGAAGAAGAAGCACCGGCUAACUCUGUGCCAGCCGCCGCCGUAAGAC